rnacentral:rRNA from 1 species
CCCUGGGUUAGUACUGGAUGGGAGACCGCCUGGGAAUACCCGGG